rnacentral:rRNA from 1 species
AUUGAACGCUGGCGGCAUGCCUUACACAUGCAAGUCGAACGGUAACAGGUCUUCGGAUGCUGACGAGUGGCGAACGGGUGAGUAAUACAUCGGAACGUGCCUAGUAGUGGGGGAUAACUACUCGAAAGAGUGGCUAAUACCGCAUGAGAUCUACGGAUGAAAGCAGGGGAUCGCAAGACCUUGUGCUACUAGAGCGGCCGAUGGCAGGUUAGGUAGUUGGUGAGAUAAAAGCUUACCAAGCCGACGAUCUGUAGCUGGUCUGAGAGGACGAUCAGACACACUGGUACUGAGACACGGCCCAGACUCGUACGGGAGGCAGCAGUGGGGAAUUUUGGACAAUGGGCGAAAGCCUGGUCCAGCAAUGCCGCGUGCAGGAUGAAGGCCUUCGGGUUGUAAACUGCUUUUGUACGGAACGAAAAGCUCUGGGUUAAUACCCUGGGGUCAUGACGGUACCGUAAGAAUAAGCACCGGCUAACUACGCGCCAGCCGCCGCGGUAAGAC